AUGAUUAUCUUAGAUGUGAUGACAACAGAAAACGUCGACAAGAAUGAUAAGAAUCGAUCACAUGCCUGGGUGGGUUUGUUGAGAGAUACGUUACGAAUUGUACGAAUAUCGGAAUUUGUAUAUAUAUUACAACGAGUACUAGGUGAUCCUGAUUGGCAUACCAAUGAUUCACUUUCUAUGAAUGAUAUCCUUUAAGAAAGAAAGAAGAAGAGUAGAGUA
rnacentral:ribozyme from 1 species